rnacentral:rRNA from 1 species
UGUAUCAGAAAUGGUACAGUCCGCAAGGACACGAAACAAGGUGCUGCAUGGCUGUCGUCAGCUCGUGCCGUGAGGUGUUGGGUUAAGUCCCUCAACGAGCGCAACCCCUGUUGUUAGUUGCCAUCAGGUAAUGCUGGGAACUCUAACAAGACUGCCUACGCAAGUAGAGAGGAAGGAGGGGACGACGUCAAGUCAUCAUGGCCCUUACGCCUAGGGCAACACACGUGCUACAAUGGACGGUACAGCAGGUCGCUAUGUGGUAACACAGUGCCAAUCUACAAAACCGUUCUCAGUUCGGAUUGGGGUCUGCAACUCGACCCUAUGAAGCUGGAAUCGCUAGUAAUCGGGUAUCAGCUAUGAUCCGGUGAAUACGUUCCCGGACCUUGUACACACCGCCCGCCAAGCCAUGAAAGUCUGGUAGACCUAAAGCUGGUUGUCAAAGACGCCAGUUAGGGUAGAACAGGUAAUUAGGGGCUAAGUCGUAACAAGGUA